CGGGUUAAGUCCCAUAACGAGCGCAACCCUUAUCGUUAGUUGCCAGCGGGUAAUGCCGGGGACUCUAGCGAAACUGCCGGUGUAAACCGAGAGGAAGGUGGGGAUGACGUCAAAUCAGCACGGCCCUUAUGUCCAGGGCUACACACGUGUUACAAUGGCCGGUACAGAGGGCAGCUACCUGGAGACAGGAUGCGAAUCUCGAAAGCCGGUCUCAGUUCGGAUCGGAGUCUGCAACUCGACUCCGUGAAGCUGGAUUCGCUAGUAAUCGCGCAUCAGCCAUGGCCGCGGUCCGAAUACGUUCCGGGCCUU
rnacentral:rRNA from 1 species